CAGAGGAGCACCACGAAAAUCCGAAAUGGAAGGGGUUUUGUGCCGCGGCGCGGGUUCGGGGAAUGGGGGCGGAAACCCUCGUCCUCUCCGCCGACCUUGCGGAGGGCUCCAUCUCAACGAUCGGGAGGUCCUCCGCUCCCGCCUCUUGAAUCGAUUUGAGCUUGGUGGGAUCAACUAGUUGAAAGGUUGUAGCUCCUGAAAUGGCUUGUGUUGUGUUGGCUUCUCCAUAAUCUGGGUGCUGAAGCAUGCUGAGGUAUCGGAUGUGACACUGAAUUGUUCCUCUUUCUUUCUUUCUUCUUCUUCAUCCUCCUCCUUUCCACUUGUUACCACUGCCGGCAUGCUCGUCAUCGUCGUCAUCCUCAUUCUUCUAUUUUAUUGAUCCCUUGGGACAUGCUCUAGUGCGAGUUUUGGAGCCCACAGCUUCUUUGAUGAAGAUGGAGUUACAUGCCUGCCACAUAGUCUGAGGGCCAUUUGGUAAUGCUGACCAUUGAUAAUUUGGUAUUUUUAUUUUCUCCACUUUUUUAUGAUGGCUUCAUUUGUCGGAGUCAAAGAUUCUCAUUCAGUUUGGUUUAUUAUGGAGAGCUUGGUGUCAUAUUCAAGUGGAAGUUUAUUGCUAGGCAUUUUUUGAUCAUAUUUGUUUUCAUAUGUUUGUGAUUUUGCACCUCUUCUCACACAUUUUUUUUGUCAUUGUUUUCUCAAACUUCAUAUUGUGCUAAAACACCCCCUUUUUGCUCUCCAAUUUGUGAAGUUAUGGCCGCACCAAAUUUCUAGUUUGAAGAAAUAGUGGCUGCCCAUCUUUUGGACAAUGAAUGUCAGCAUGAUAUCUUAUAAUUUCUUAAAAGAUGUGUCGCCCAAUGAUGAAAUGUGAAUAAGUGAGAUGGCAUUUGGUUUCCUCCUCCUCCUCCACCACCACCAUCACUACCACCUUACUCUCCCUCUCCCUCCCUCCCUCUCUAUCUGAGAGUGUGCGCGCGUGUUUGUAUGUGUUGUCUGUGGCUCUGUGCAGCAACAACUGCAUAUUGUCAUUAAAGGGCCUCACUGGAAGCAGUAAUUCUUACUGAAAUGCACUGCUCACCAUCUCUUAUGCCAUCAAUGAAUUCUGUAUUUGAGAUCUGAGGGCAUGCUAUUUUUUCUUACUCGCAUGUAUUCAUUUGAGUUCCUUCUUUUAAUAAAUAUAUUUGCAUUUUCAUCUACCAGGUUUGUCUCUGCAUAUAGUUGCUUGGCUUGCAUUUUGCUGUUAAUACUUGUUAUGUGAGUGUUUUUGUUGAGUUUUAAUGAAUUUAUGACCAUCUCUUGCGCUAUCCAUGAAUACCAUAACUCUAUUGCUGUACCGUAUAUAAUGAUAUUGUUAAUCUUUUCAUUAAAAAAUAGGAAAAAAAGAAAAAAAUUCUUCUUAAUAUAAUGAUACGCAGCUCUCCUGCGUGUUCGAGAUUUUUUUUUAAAUCAAAGAUAUUGUUAGUCUUAGCACUUUAUUUUAGGUUAUUUUUUUAGUUUUACUGUCUUGUUGCUUGGUUUGUCUUUUGGCCCCAUGAUGAUGAGACUUGUGGAUGGAUCAUGGACUGAAACUGAUUUGAGCUUGGUGGAUCAACCUAUGCAGUUGAAAGGUUGUAGCUCCUGAAGUGGUUUGUGCUGUGUUGGCUUCUCCAUGAUCUGGGCGCUGAAGCA